UGGGGAAUAUUGCGCAAUGGGCGAAAGCCUUACGCAGCGACGCCGCGUGAGGGAUGAAGGUUUUCGGAUCGUAAACCUCUGUCAGAAGGGAAGAAACCGCACUGUGCUAAUCAGCAGUGCCUUGACGGUACCUUCAAAGGAAGCACCGGCUAACUCCGUGCCAGCAGCCGCGGUAAUACGGAGGGUGCAAGCGUUAAUCGGAAUUACUGGGCGUAAAGCGCACGUAGGCUGCUUUGUAAGUCAGGGGUGAAAUCCCACGGCUCAACCGUGGAACUGCCUUUGAUACUGCUUAGCUUGAAUCCGGGAGAGGGUGGCGGAAUUCCAGGUGUAGGAGUGAAAUCCGUAGAUAUCUGGAGGAACAUCAGUGGCGAAGGCGGCCACCUGGACCGGUAUUGACGCUGAGGUGCGAAAGCGUGGGGAGCAAACAGG
rnacentral:rRNA from 1 species